AUGCCACUUUUUUUUUUGACACCUACUGGCAUGCCACUUGGAACUACCCUCUUUCUCAGAAGGCAGGCUACUUGGGUUUCUACUGCAGUUGUGCGCCAGUUUGAUUUUUUUGUUCAUGUUACACCAUUUACAAAUUGCUGUGCAAUUUCCCAGAAUUACCGUUCUAGCACAAUAUCUUUCUGUAAUGUCCGCACGGUUUGUGCCGUUAAAUUUACAUGUACCCGUGUUCUCUCGCCUGGUAAACAGGUCUGUAGCCGUGUUUCCCAUUCAUCCGAUCCAUUGCUGGACAGUGUUCCCCAGAAUGACAUGGCUAUUAGAUCAAGUGAAUGUUUGAGCUCUGAAUCAUCAGAACUACUAAUGCUGAUCAAUAGGAAAUUGAGUCAGUUGGCCAGUUUAUUGUAG
rnacentral:rRNA from 1 species